UAGCUCAGUUGGUAGAGCACGUGACUGAAAAUCACGGUGUCGGCAGUUCAAUUCUG
rnacentral:tRNA from 1 species